GUACACUCCUACGGGAGGCAGCAGUGGGGAAUUUUGGACAAUGGGCGAAAGCCUGAUCCAGCAAUGCUGCGUGAGUGAAGAAGGCCUUCGGGUUGUAAAGCUCUUUUGUCAGGGAAGAAACGGUGAAAGCUAAUAUCUUUUGCUAAUGACGGUACCUGAAGAAUAAGCACCGGCUAACUACGUGCCAGCAGCCGCGGUAAUACGUAGGGUGCAAGCGUUAAUCGGAAUUACUGGGCGUAAAGCGUGCGCAGGCGGUUUUGUAAGUCUGAUGUGAAAUCCCCGGGCUCAACCUGGGAAUUGCAUUGGAGACUGCAAGGCUAGAAUCUGGCAGAGGGGGGUAGAAUUCCACGUGUAGCAGUGAAAUGCGUAGAUAUGUGGAGGAACACCGAUGGCGAAGGCAGCCCCCUGGGUCAAGAUUGACGCUCAUGCACGAAAGCGUGGGGAGCAAACAGGAUUAGAAACCCGUGUAGUCCCA
rnacentral:rRNA from 1 species